rnacentral:misc_RNA from 1 species
GGAAUAUUGCACAAUGGGGGAAACCCUGAUGCAGCAACGCCGCGUGAGUGAUGAAGGCCUUCGGGUUGUAAAGCUCUGUCUUCAGGGACGAUAAUGACGGUACCUGAGGAGGAAGCCACGGCUAACUACGUGCCAGCAGCCGCGGUAAUACGUAGGUGGCAAGCGUUGUCCGGAUUUACUGGGCGUAAAGGGAGCGUAGGCGGAUACUUAAGUGGGAUGUGAAAUACCUGGGCUUAACUUGGGUGCUGCAUUCCAAACUGGGUGUCUAGAGUGUUGGAGAGGAAAGUGGAAUUCCUAGUGUAGCGGUGAAAUGCGUAGAGAUUAGGAAGAACACCAGUGGCGAAGGCGACUUUCUGGACAAUAACUGACGCUGAGGCUCGAAAGCGUGGGGAGCAAACAGGA